GAAGAACGUAGCGAAAUGCGAUAACUAAUGUGAAUUGCAGAAUUCAGUGAAUCAUCGAGUCUUUGAACGCACAUUGCGCCCUCUGGUAUUCCGGAGGGCAUGCCUGUCCGAGCGUCAUUGCUGCCCUCCAGCCCGGCUGGUGUGUUGGGCCCCGUCCCCCUUCCCGGGGGGACGGGCCCGAAAGGCAGCGGCGGCACCGCGUCCGGUCCUCGAGCGUAUGGGGCUUUGUCACCCGCUCUUGUAGGCCCGGCCGGCGCCAGCCGACCCCCUCAAUCUAUUUUUCAGGUUGACCUCGGAUCAGGUAGGGAUACCCGCUGAACUUAAGCAUAUCAAUAAGCGGAGGA
rnacentral:misc_RNA from 1 species